CCUACGGGCGGCAGCAGUGAGGAAUAUUGGUCAAUGGACGAGAGUCUGAACCAGCCAAGUAGCGUGAAGGAUGACUGCCCUAUGGGUUGUAAACUUCUUUUAUAUGGGAAUAAAACGUUCCACGUGUGGGAUUUUGUAUGUACCAUAUGAAUAAGGAUCGGCUAACUCCGUGCCAGCAGCCGCGGUAAUACGGAGGAUCCGAGCGUUAUCCGGAUUUAUUGGGUUUAAAGGGAGCGUAGGUGGAUUGUUAAGUCAGUUGUGAAAGUUUGCGGCUCAACCGUAAAAUUGCAGUUGAAACUGGCAGUCUUGAGUACAGGAGAGGUAGGUGGAAUUCGUGGUGUAGCGGUGAAAUGCUUAGAUAUCACGAAGAACUCCGAUUGCGAAGGCAGUUCACUGGACUGCAACUGACACUGAGGCUCGAAAGUGUGGGUAUCAAACAGGAUUAGAUACCCCAGUAGUC
rnacentral:rRNA from 1 species